rnacentral:rRNA from 1 species
CCUACGGGAGGCAGCAGUGGGGAAUCUUGCGCAAUGGGCGAAAGCCUGACGCAGCAACGCCGCGUGAGCGAAGAAGGCCUUCGGGUUGUAAAGCUCUGUCAGGGGGAAAGAAGGCACCUGGGUUAAUAGCCCAAGGGUUGACGGUACCCCCAAAGGAAGCCCCGGCUAACUACGUGCCAGCAGCCGCGGUAAUACGUAGGGGGCGAGCGUUGUCCGGAAUUACUGGGCGUAAAGAGCGCGUAGGCGGUGCCUUAAGUCGGCUGUGAAAUCUCCCGGCUCAACUGGGAGGGGUCAUCCGAAACUGGUAGGCUUGAGGACAGCAGAGGGAGAUGGAAUUCCCGGUGUAGUGGUGAAAUGCGUAGAUAUCGGGAGGAACACCAGUGGCGAAGGCGAUCUCCUGGGCUGUUCCUGACGCUGAGGCGCGAAAGCGUGGGGAGCAAACAGGAUUAGAUACCCUGGUAGUCCACGCUGUAAACUAUGGACACUAGGUAUGGGGGGUAUCGACCCCCUCCGUGCCGGAGUUAACGCUAUAAGUGUCCCGCCUGGGGAGUACGGUCGCAAGACUAAAACUCAAAGGAAUUGACGG